rnacentral:rRNA from 1 species
AUUGAACGCUGGCGGCAUGCCUUACACAUGCAAGUCGAACGGUAACGGGCCUUCGGGUGCCGACGAGUGGCGAACGGGUGAGUAAUACGUCGGAACGUGCCCGACCGUUUGGGAUAACGAGGCGAAAGCUUUUCUAAUACCGCAUUCGAUCUUCGUAUGAAAGCAGGGGACCGCAAGGCCUUGCGCGGUCGGAGCGGCCGAUGGCAGAUUAGGUAGUUGGUGGGAUAAAAGCUUACCAAGCCGACGCUCUGUAGCUGGUCUGAGAGGAUGAUCAGCGACACUGGGACUGAGACACGGCCCAGACUCCGACGGGAGGCAGCAGUGGGGAAUGUUGGAAAAUGGGCGCAAGCCUGAUCAAGCCAUGCAGCGUGGAGGAUGAAGGCCUUCGGGUUGUAAGCUGCUUUUGUACGGAACGAAAAGCCUUCUUAUAAUACAGGAGGGUCAUGACGGUACCGUAAGAAUAAGCACCGGCUAACUACGUG